CUGCCUUAGGAAUCAUUUUUAAUAAUGGACCUACCUGGAAGGAGAUCCGGCGGUUUUCCCUGACCACCCUCCGGAACUAUGGGAUGGGGAAACAGGGCAACGAGAGCCGGAUCCAGAGGGAGGCCCACUUCCUGCUGGAAGCACUCAGGAAGACCCAAGGUGCGUAUCUGCUGCCUAGCAGGGCCCAGUCCUCAUGCGGACCAGCGGCGCGGGGAGCCCUGGCUGGGACUCCUAGACUGCAUCUGAACCACAGGGAGCUACGGACAAGGAGAGGGUCUCGUGAGUCCCCAGAUACUGCAUUUUACAACUCUAGUUUCCAGCUACACAGUUCAGGGAGCAAGGGUGGCCAUUAAACACGUGACUUGUAUCCUGAAUACUGUCGAAAAGCAAAGGAAACUCAAACAGGUUCAGACUUUCACUAUCUUUGGUAAAUUGGCAGUUUUCAGGGCACCUUCUCACAGGCCUUGGUGAACCUCAGCGGGUGACUGAGCAGGUGGAGGAGUCUCCUCGCCCCCAUCUUCUGAUUGCCCCGACUGCCUGUUUUCUAGGCCAGCCUUUUGACCCCACCUUCCUCAUUGGCUGCACACCCUGCAACGUCAUAGCCGACAUCCUCUUCCGCAAGCGUUUUGACUACAAUGAUGAGAAGUUUCUAAGGCUAAUGUAUUUGUUUAAUGAGAACUUCUACCUACUCAGCACUCCCUGGCUCCAGCUUUACAAUAAUUUUCCCAGCUUUCUACACUACUUGCCUGGAAGCCAUAGAAAAGUCAUAAAAAAUGUGGCUGAAGUAAAAGAGUAUGUGUCUGAAAGGGUGAAGGAGCACCAUCAAUCUCUGGACCCCAACUGUCCCCGGGACCUCACCGACUGCCUGCUCGUGGAAAUGGAGAAGGAGAAGCACAGUGCAGAGCCCUUGUACACAAUGGAUGGUAUCACUGUGACUGUGGCCGACCUGUUCUUUGCGGGGACAGAGACCACCAGCACAACUCUGAGAUAUGGGCUCCUGAUUCUCAUGAAAUACCCUGAGAUCGAAGAGAAGCUCCAUGAAGAAAUUGACAGGGUGAUUGGGCCAAGCCGAAUCCCUGCCAUCAAGGAUAGGCAAGAGAUGCCCUACAUGGAUGCUGUGGUGCAUGAGAUUCAGCGGUUCAUCACCCUCGUGCCCUCCAACCUGCCCCAUAAAGCAACCCGAGACACCAUUUUCAGAGGAUACCUCAUCCCCAAGGGCACAGUCAUAGUGCCAACUCUGGACUCUGUUUUGUAUGACAACCAAGAAUUUCCUGAUCCAGAAAAGUUUAAGCCAGAACACUUCCUGAAUGAAAAUGGGAAGUUCAAGUACAGUGACUAUUUCAAGCCAUUUUCCACAGGAAGUCUGUGUAGUCCAGACCUGUAAUGAAGGAAUUGAAGAAAUAAUCACAAGGUAUGUGUAUGUGUGUAUGCAGGCGGGUUCCAGACCUCCUGGGCCCACUGUGAGAGCGUCUCGGGCUCUCACAGUGCAUCCCUCUGCCUGCGGACCCAGAAGAAGCUGGCAGGUCCCAGAGAUGAGCAAUCUAGAGACCAGGAGGUUAAGGAAGCAUUUAUUGAAAACCUGUGAUGUACCUCUGGCCCAGACCAAGAGGCAGGGUCAAGCCAAGGCUUCAAUCAGUCACAGGAGACUGGGGGUCUUGGGCCCGACCCCUACUCCUCACCAGUAGACUCAGCUGAGAUGGGCUGUAUCAAUAUAGGUCCUUUAUUUCCUGAAAGCCCCUUGGGCUAAGGUCAGGGUGGAGUGUGUCCUCCGGGCCUAUGAGGACGUCAGGCCCUGCUCGCUGUGCAGCUCCAGGUCUUUCUCCUUUUAGGGGCUUGGGACUGGCCUGCAGGAGGUUAGUGUCCAGGGUGGGAAUUUACACCCAUCCCCAAGGCCACAUGGUACCCUCCUGCCCCAUCACCACCUUGGGUGGAUCCACUGUGGGAAAGCCCUACAGACCAUCCUCUGAGGAGUCCCAGGACCCCCUCCCUUGUCCUCCCGCCCCUUCCGCCGUCCCUUCAGUAGCUGUCUCUGUUCCCUGACGCCCACUUCUGGGGCUUACCACAUCUCCCGGGCCAGCCUCUUCCUCUUGUGUGCUCUGGGCUUGGGUAGAGACUUGCAUUCCAUGCUUUUCCAGCUCUUCCUUCAGCCUGGACAGGAAGAGGUAGGAUGGGGGAAGGAAGAAGAGGAAAGGGUGGAGGAGGGACAAGAGGUUUUCAAGAGUCAGAGACAGAAGGUGGAGAGAGGAGAUACAACAUCGGUCACCUUUCUGGUGGGGGUUGCGGGGACAGGGCCUCCACACGCACCUCUGCCGCUUCUGCUGCUGUUGUUGGCACUUCUGCUGCAGCUGCUGGUGGCACUGGGCAGCAGCUGCUAGGAGCUCCUCAGCCUUCCUGUGCUCUUCCUGAAACAGCUGCCUGGGGGGGCCCAGUAGGGGGUGGUCAGCACCGGCCACUCCCUCCUCCCACCCUCUUCACCUCCACAUCUUACACUGUGGCUGCAGCCUCCUGGCUGCGGAGAAAGAGUCCCUCAUCGAGGGUGGAGGGGCCCUCAGCCCCACACAGGGAGCACAGCUGAUGCUUCACGUCUUCCAGUGUCGCCUUGACCAGCUUCUCUGCAGCACGAAGGGGCAGGUGAGCACAUGAGGGCACGUGAGGUCAGAUAUGGGCCAUCCACCCUCCCUGGCCUCACCUUCCUUGAGCAGCUGCUCCUUGCUGCUGUCCAGGGCACAAAUCUCCCUUGCCAGCCGCUCUGGCCUCUGAGGGGGCAGAAAAGAGGCCUGUCUACUCCUCUUGGCUUUCCCCCAUGCCUCAAAGAAGGCUAUCUGGAUCUUGUUUUGUACUUACUAUGCCUCACUUCCAACAACUCUGCCCUUCUGUGCACACCAGCUACGGCACAGCCUCAGGGCCACGGCACUGGCCAUUCCCUCCCUGUGCACUUCUCUCAUCCCACAUCUCUGCAGUACUGCAGUGGGGAUGCUCAUGGAUUGUUAUUUACGACAGAUAAACCUGCAAACACUGUGAGUCUUGGCUGUUUUCCAGAGGAUCAGGUACCGGUUUAGCUCUGCAGCUCCUCCCUACUCCCCUCUGUCCUGGUGUGACCUCCUCACUGAGCCCUUCCUUCCUAACACUCACUGUCUAUUUUCUUGUUCAGUGCCUAGGAUCCUCCUGGAGGACAAACACGGGCUGCUUAUCCUUGUUGUCUCCCUUGUGCCCGUGAUGGUCCCAGACACAUCCACGGACAUUGAUGGAAGACCUGACCUUGGUCUCAUCAGAGAUCCCCCUGACCACUGAGCAGCAGGGUCACAAGGAGGUGAUAAGGGACUGGAUUCGGGCAAUGUUGAUCUUAGCACCACCAGGGCUUGCUUGGGGACUGGUUGUGGCAGGUGAGAGGAACAAGUGAACGUUUGGGCCUGGUGCUGCUAGGGAAGAUGUGGAAGGGGGAGGAGUGGCUUUGAGGGACUCACGUGGAAGUCCCAGAGGUCCUUGUGCUGGCCCAUCAGAUCUUCCAGCUGUUCCUCGAAUGCCAACCUGGGGGCCAACCACAGGCAUGAGGGGAUAUGGGCUGAAAUCAUCACCUUCAUAGCCUGUCCAAGUCUGUGGGUCUUCAGGCACAGACUUUGGGGUGCUUUGCCCAUGGUCUCUGCUCCACUGGGAACAUCUUCACCACCUUGAACCUCCAUGGCUCAGUGUAGCCAGCUCUUCUAACCCCCAUCUUUGACAUUAUAUCCCAACUACCAGCCAACCAAACCCCCUGCCUCAGAUGCUAAGGUUUACCUCAGCUGUCUCUGUUUGUUCUUCUCUUCUUCAAUCUGCAAGUUCAGGGCAGAAAUUCUCUCCUUGCACUCCUGCAACAUGGUGUGCUUCCUGGGAGAGGUGAGGCAGCCCUCAGCCAUGUUCUAUUAAGCCCCAGGAGGGCACUGGGCUGGAGCUUCUGCCUCCCUCUAUUGAGGCUAUUUUUUCCCUCUACAUGAAGGUCCUUCUCUGUAACAUGUGGUGGGUAGGGAGUGACAUGACCAUUUGCCCCCUGGAAGUAUUGUUGUCAGGUUAAGAGAGAUUAAUAUGGACAUGGUCAAGUGAGCAAAUGCACACACAUCUUAGUAUCAUCUGGUUUUCCCAAAGAGCUGAAAUCUCAGUGUGCCAGGGCCUGGGGCCUCUGGUAACAAAAUGAGCUAAAUCAGGAGGUGGAGAAAUGGAUGGACAAAUCGAUGGGUGGAUAAAAAGAUAAUGGAUGAAUGGAGAGAGAAUGGACAAAUGGUUGGCUCAAUGCCUAAAUGAACAGACAGAUGAGUGAACAGACAUCCAAGGAGUAUGACAAAGAGUAAAAGGCAAAAAAUAAAAACCAGCUGAAGAAAUUUAAUUGAUAAUUUAGCAAAUGAAUGUCUUGCCAUUGAGAGAGUUACCCUUAACACUACUGCCAGCUGUUGGAGCCGAAGGGGAAAGACACUCUUUGGAUUCUCCACUGUUUAGAGGGAAACAAUGAGAGCUGUGGGUCUCAGAUUCAUCUUCCUGCCUCUUUCUGCUCUACCAGAAUAAAGAUGUAGUGCAGAGUUAGGCUCAGCUGGAAGCUCUUACCUCUGUGCCUCACUUUCCUUUUCCUGGCAAUGCAGCCGGAGGAUCCUCAGGGUCUCUGUAGGGAGAGCAACAGGGCCCUAUGAGAACCUGUCAAGGUAUCGUGUUUUGGCAGGGGGAACACGGCCAGAUCACGUCAGGUCUGUGGACACCUGAUUGAGCUUUAACAUUUACUACAUGUCCAGUGGAAGCCACAGGAGAGAGGCAAGCUGGGACAGGUUUCAAAAGGCUUCAGCUGCCAUAGGGAGAGUGGGCUUCUGUGGGUUGGCAAAGGCACAAGCCUGGAGACAGGGGAGCGGCAGAUACCUUGUUUCUUGCUCAAGAUCUCCUUCAGGUGUACUUUCUCUCCAUGCACUGGAAAACAGUGACACAUUUUGGCAUCAUGGACUAUGCACUGCACCCUCAGGGAUGGGGCUUGCUCACGGUCACAUGGGAAGUUGGGCACAGCCUUGGCCCCAACCCAAAUGUGAGCCCCUUGAGGUGAACUCCUACCCUCUGGUGCCCACAUUCCCUGUAAGCACCAAAGGGCCUUCACAUUUAACGGGGUGGCUGUGAGGGCCCUGGAGGAUGCCCAUGCUUUUACAUGGGGAGGAGAGAAAAAAUACAAACACCCAUGAAGUGGGAUAAGGGCUAUAAAGAAACACAUCAAAUAGGAUGGGGCAUGUGACCAGAUGGAGGCAGGGUGCCAUCUUUAGAUGGGAUGACUGGGGAAUGCCAGUCAUCCUGUCUGGGGACAUUCUAACUUAGAGCUGAUGAUGUGAGGAAAGAGGAACCUGUAUUAUCUGAGGAAGCACAGACAGCAUCUGGCAAAAGCCCUGAGAUGGGAAUGAGGUUGGAGGGCGUUUCCUGAACACUCCCAUAAGCAGAGAGGAGAGGGGGAGAUUGGCAGGACAUGAGGCUAGAGAGGGUACAGGACCCUUGGCCAUGGCAAGGAUGCUGAUCAUCUGGAAUACAGGGUUAGGGGAGGCUUAAGACACUGUGGGGACCUCUGGGUGACCCCCGGCUCUCUUACGCAAGUCCAGUUCCUUCUGCAGGGCCUCACAGAUGGUCCGGGCCUCUCCUAGGUCUUUAUUGGCUUUCUUUUUUGCUUCACCAAAGAGCAGAAAAACAUUGUGUGAGUGCAGCCUCUAUUCUCUUGCCAACAGUGACAUUUCUCAUUUGCCUUCAGGUAAAUCUAUAGUGGCCUAGAUUUUCUAGAGUAGGAAAUGAGGCUUCCAGCUCUCCUUGCCAGGCUCUGCUGAUAGCAGGGCCAGGAUCAUAGGCAUGUAACUAUGGCAGUCGCAUGCUGAAAUGCCCUGUACUUAAUUUAAGGCUCUGCUGUUGCUGUUGUGAAUAACCAGUAACUUUGGAACAAGGGACCCUGCAUUCUCAUUUGGCACUGAGCCCCGCAAACCAUGUAGCUGGUCCUAGCUGGCAGCCAAGGCCCCUGAACUCACCUUGCUGGACCUCAUUAAUCCGGUUAAUCAGGACCUCAACUCGGGGCUCUAGGCUUCCCACUGCAGGGAGGAAAGGAGGUUCAGUUGACAGGGCAGGCAGAGGUGGGGCGGUUGCCAGCCUUGUGUCUCUGCUGCUUUCACACAACACACAUCUAUUGAGUACCUCCUCCUGCAAGCAGGUGCUCUGUGGGGCCCUCACGGGGCUCACAUUCUGGGUGGGCGAGACUGGGAACAGACACAAUAAGAUACCGAGUGGGGCUGUGGUAAUCGUGUUCAAGAGAAAUAAAGUAGGGAAAGGGGGGUUAAAGAGCAAAGGAGUGGGAAGUGCUCCUGAGAUAUGGGAAGGUAUCAUGAGGGCCCCAAGUCAAGUAGUGGGGGCGCAGGCCCUUCAGCUCUUUGGGUGGGGUUGGGAGGUAGUCAGUGCAAAGACCCGUUGUGAGGUGGGAACACGGCUGGCAGGAGCCUAGUGAGCAAAGAGGGAGUAGUGGGUGAGGGGGAAGGAAGGGAAGUGAAGGUGGCAACUUCUGGAUCUAAUGGACUGCAGUGGAGCCAAAUGGGUGACCAGCGAGAGGUGUGGAACAGGGUUUUGGGAAAACAUUUUGCCUUCCACACCCUUUUGCUUCUUUAAUUUUGAAUCAUGGGGCCCUAUUUUUAGUUUAAGUAAUUAAGUUUUAAAAGAAAGAGAAGGUGAAGAGGAUUAUUUCCCAAAUUCGUACAUUGUGGGGCCUGAAAUUAAACCCACAUCUGCCUGGCCCCAAACCUCAGGCUGUGCCUCACACAAAGGAGACACAUGACCUUUCUGCAGCUUUUGCACCAUUUCCAUCAAGUCUUCAAUUUUCUGUGAGGAUGUGUCCUGCCCUGUGGAGACAAAACCAAACAUUUCAGAAUCAAGCAGGGCGAGAGGCCAGCCCCUGGGCUGAGACUGAGGUAGGCUGAGGGCAGGUCUCCGGCCAGAGUGGUGCCCCUUCUCCUUGUCCUGAGGUGGACAGUACACUAGAUGAAUCAGGCUCCUCCAUGGUCGGCUUUUCCCUAUAAGGUAAAAUUAUACCAGAUAUCCUCUUUGUAAAACUCUGGGUGAGGGCAGGGGUGUACUCUCACUGCUGAGGCUGUUCAAAUUAAGGUCAAAGCUUCUGAUAUAAUAAUUCAAGAAAAAAAAUGAGGGUAUAAAAAACUGGAGCAAGGAGUCAAAAAUCACUGCAACUGGCAGAUGACAUAAUCUAGGAAGUUCUUAGAGAGUUUUCUACAAAACCAUAAGGAUUAGUAACAAAAUGCAUUAAGAUGUUAGGUUAAAAACAUAUAUAAAUACAAAUAGCUUUCCUAUAUACAACCAAUGCUAACCCUGAAAUUUCCCCAUAAAAUAUUUCAUAUUAAUUUUUUAUAAUCACUAUUGGAACCUAUUUUUAACACUAAAAUUAGUAGAUCUAAGAAAUUACUAUUUAUGGCAUUAACAUUGUGAAAGGAAAAUAAAUCUUUUUAUAAAUAAAUCUUUGAAAAUAAAUCAAUUCAAAGUCAUCCCUCUGCUCACAGAGAUAAAUGCAUAUCUGAUUUUGUAAAAUAAAUAUCUGGAAAUAAAUCAAUUCAAAGUCAUCCUUCUGCUUACUCAGAUAAAUGCAUAUCUGAUUGCCUCCUUUGGAAAGGCUAAUCAGAAACUCAAAAGAAUGCAACCAUUUGUCUUUUAUCUACUUAUGAUCUUGAAGCCAACCCCCCUGCUUCUAGUUGUCUCAUCAUUGCUUUGAGUUGUCCCACCUUUCCAGAUCGAACCAAUGUUCAUCUUACAUAUGUUGAUUCAUAUCUCAUGUUUCCCUAAAAAGCAUAAAACCAACCUGUGCUCUGACCACCCUGCCACCCUGGGCACAGGUCAUCAGGACCUCCUGAGGCCGUGUCACAGGCAUGCAUCCCUAACUUUGGUAAAAUAAACUUCCUAAAUUGACUGAG
rnacentral:sRNA from 1 species